GACGAACGCUGGCGGCGUGCUUAACACAUGCAAGUCGAACGCUGAAGCUCAGCUUGCUGGGUGGAUGAGUGGCGAACGGGUGAGUAACACGUGAGUAACCUGCCCUCUUCUUUGGGAUAACGCCCGGAAACGGGUGCUAAUACUGGAUAUUCACUGAUUCUCGCAUGGGGGUUGGUGGAAAGGUUUUUUCUGGUGGGGGAUGGGCUCGCGGCCUAUCAGCUUGUUGGUGGGGUGAUGGCCUACCAAGGCUUUGACGGGUAGCCGGCCGGAGAGGGUGACCGGUCACAUUGGGACUGAGAUACGGCCCAGACUCCUACGGGAGGCAGCAGUGGGGAAUAGUGCACAAUGGGCGAAAGCCUGAUGCAGCGACGCCGCGUGAGGGAUGGAGGCCUUCGGGUUGUAAACCUCUUUCGCUCAUGGUCAAGCCGCAGCUUUGGGUUGUGGUGAGGGUAGUGGGUAAAGAAGCGCCGGCUAACUACGUG
rnacentral:rRNA from 1 species